rnacentral:lncRNA from 1 species
GGAGCCAGCACAUGGAAGGUAGCCACUCCAGAGGCUCUGUGAGGACUCUGUGCAGACUUCACAAGGGAAGGUGUUUCCACAGGAGCCUCUGCGCCCUUCGCUUUUGAGAAGGAAGUGACCAGGAACAAGACUUUAGAACUUGUAAAUUAGAAAAAGCAGUUCUAUAACUCCCAUGAGCUCCCAAAUCUGGCCCAACCCUUCAGGAAAUGAAGACUCAGCAGCUCUCUGGCCUCCCCAAGGAAAACAGUGUCUGUCCCCACGGAAAGAAGAAGGGCAGCUGGCAGGGCCACUUCUGCUGCAAAGGUGAUUUUACUAUGCAGCCACUAUUAAAAACCACAGAUGUCAUUGAUGAUGAUGAUGAUGAUGAUCAUGAUGAUGGUGAUGAUGAUGGUGAUGAAGAUGGCAAUGAUUGCAGAAUUUGGGGAAGAGGAAGCCUGAAGGAGUCCACAAAACAAUGUCCUUCAAAUCAGAGUUUAUUCAAUGCUGAUUUUUCAUUUUUCUAUGGUUCUGUUUGGGGACAAGUCAGUCAAAUAACUUGAACCUCAGCGUCCUCAUCUGCAGAAUGGGAAUAAUAACAGUUUGUAAAGUUAUCGUGAAGAUGAC